rnacentral:rRNA from 1 species
ACGGGAGGCAGCAGUGAGGAAUAUUGGUCAAUGGGCGGAAGCCUGAACCAGCCAAGUAGCGUGUAGGAAGACUGCCCUAUGGGUUGUAAACUACUUUUAUACGGGAACAAAGUCACUUACGAGUUAGGUGUUUGCGUGUACCGUAGGAAUAAGCAUCGGCUAAUUCCGUGCCAGCAGCCGCGGUAAUACGGAAGAUGCGAGCGUUAUCCGGAUUUAUUGGGUUUAAAGGGAGCGUAGGCGGGUAUUCAAGUCAGUUGUGAAAGUCUGCGGCUUAACCGUAGAAUUGCAGUUGAUACUGAAUAUCUUGAGUGCACAUAAGGAUGGUGGAAUUUGUGGUGUAGCGGUGAAAUGCAUAGAUAUCACGAAGAACUCCGAUUGCGAAGGCAGCUAUCUGGGGUGCUACUGACGCUGAGGCUCGAAAGUGCGGGUAUCAAACAGGAUUAGAUACCCUGGUA